rnacentral:rRNA from 1 species
UGCCAGCCGCCGCGGUAAUACGGAGGGUGCAAGCGUUACUCGGAUUUACUGGGCGUAAAGAGCACGUAGGCGGUCUACUUAGUCGGAUGUGAAAUCCCUCGGCUCAACCGGGGAACUGCAUUCGAAACUGGUAGGCUUGAGAGUGGAAGGGGUGAGUGGAACUCCAGGUGGAACGGUGAAAUGUGUAGACAUCUGGAGGAACAACGGUGGCGAAAGCGACUCACUGGUCCAUCUCUGACGCUGAGGUGCGAAAGCUAGGGUAGCAAACGGGAUUAGAUA